rnacentral:rRNA from 1 species
CCUACGGGUGGCAGCAGUCGAGAAUCAUUCACAAUGGGGGAAACCCUGAUGGUGCGACGCCGCGUGGGGGAAUGAAGGUCUUCGGAUUGUAAACCCCUGUCAUGUGGGAGCAAAUUAAAAAGAUAGUACCACAAGAGGAAGAGACUGCUAACUCUGUGCCAGCAGCCGCGGUACUACAGAGGUCUCAAGCGUUGUUCGGAAUCACGGGGCGUAAAGCGUGCGUAGGCUGUUUCGUAAGUCGUGUGUGAAAGGCGCGGGCUCAACCCGCGGACGGCACAUGAUACUGCGAGACUAGAGUAAUGGAGGGGGAACCGGAAUUCUCGGUGUAGCAGUGAAAUGCGUAGAUAUCGAGAGGAACACUCGUGGCGAAGGCGGGUUCCUGGACAUUAACUGACGCUGAGGCACGAAGGCCAGGGGAGCGAAAGGGACUAGAUACCCCUGUAAUC